rnacentral:lncRNA from 1 species
UGAGACUGUUGAGUCACCGCUGAUCAAUAGCCAGAAUAAUGUGCAACAGGAAGGUGAUAAUCCUCCUGUAAACAACAACACUGAUCAAAUGACGAAUGACGGUACAUUUAGGACCUUUUUAGAAUUCAUGCAACACCAAACGAGAGAGACUCCUGUUCUUAAUGUAGGUGGAAACAAUGGCAACCCACGGUUGGUCACCGCUAAGCAGUUCAAGGAGUUGGGACCACCAAAGUUUUUGGGAAAGCCAGAACCACUUAAGGCAGAGACGUG